rnacentral:rRNA from 1 species
AACGAACGCUGGCGGCAUGCCUAACACAUGCAAGUCGAACGAAGGCUUCGGCCUUAGUGGCGCACGGGUGCGUAACGCGUGGGAAUCUGCCCUUAGGUUCGGAAUAACAGUUAGAAAUGACUGCUAAUACCGGAUGAUGACGUAAGUCCAAAGAUUUAUCGCCUGAGGAUGAGCCCGCGUAGGAUUAGCUAGUUGGUGUGGUAAAGGCGCACCAAGGCGACGAUCCUUAGCUGGUCUGAGAGGAUGAUCAGCCACACUGGGACUGAGACACGGCCCAGACUCCUACGGGAGGAAGCAGUGGGGAAUAUUGGACGAUGGGCGCAAGCCUGAUCCCGCAAUGCCGCGUGAGUGAUGAAGGCCUUAGGGUUGUAAAGCUCUUUUACCCGUGAUGAUAAUGACAGUAGCGGGAGAAUAAGCCCCGGCUAACUCCGUG